rnacentral:rRNA from 1 species
AGAGUUUGAUCAUGGCUCAGGACGAACGCUGGCGGCGUGCUUAACACAUGCAAGUCGAACGGAAAGGCCCCUUCGGGGGUGCUCGAGUGGCGAACGGGUGAGUAACACGUGAGUAACCUGUCCUGGUCUCUGGAAUAACCGCCCGAAAGGGUGGCUAAUGCCGGAUGUUCCCGCGUUGCCGCAUGGUGGUGUGGGGAAAGUUUUUUCGGACUGGGGUGGGCUCGCGGCCUAUCAGCUUGUUGGUGGGGUGAUGGCCUACCAAGGCUUUGACGGGUAGCCGGCCUGAGAGGGCGGCCGGCCACACUGGGACUGAGACACGGCCCAGACUCCUACGGGAGGCAGCAGUGGGGAAUAUUGCACAAUGGACGCAAGUCUGAUGCAGCGACGCCGCGUGAGGGAUGACGGCCUUCGGGUUGUAAACCUCUUUCGGCAGGGACGAAGCGCAAGUGACGGUACCUGCAGAAGAAGCGCCGGCCAACUACGUGCCAGCCGCCGCGGUAAUAC